rnacentral:rRNA from 1 species
UACAGAGGUCCCGAGCGUUGUUCGGAUUCAUUGGGCGUAAAGGGUGCGUAGGCGGUCUUCUAAGUUUGAUGUGAAAUCCCGGGGCUCAACCCUGGAAUUGCAUUGAAUACUGGAGGACUAGAGUACCGGAGAGGAAACUGGAAUUUACGGUGUAGCAGUGAAAUGCGUAGAGAUCGUAAGGAAGACCAGUGGCGAAGGCGAGUUUCUGGACGGUAACUGACGCUGAGGCACGAAGGCCAGGGGAGCAAACGGG